CCUACGGGUGGCAGCAGUCGAGAAUCAUUCACAAUGGGGGAAACCCUGAUGGUGCGACGCCGCGUGGGGGAAUGAAGGUCUUCGGAUUGUAAACCCCUGUCAUGUGGGAGCAAAUUAAAAAGAUAGUACCACAAGAGGAAGAGACGGCUAACUCUGUGCCAGCAGCCGCGGUAAUACAGAGGUCGCAAGCGUUGUUCGGAAUCACUGGGCGUAAAGCGUGCGUAGGCUGUUUCGUAAGUCGUGUGUGAAAGGCGCGGGCUCAACCCGCGGACGGCACAUGAUACUGCGAGACUAGAGUAAGGGAGGGGGAACCGGAAUUCUCGGUGUAGCAGUGAAAUGCGUAGAUAUCGAGAGGAACACUCGUGGCGAAGGCGGGUUCCUGGACAUUAACUGACGCUGAGGAACGAAGGCCAGGGGAGCGAAAGGGAUUAGAUACCCUGGUAGUC
rnacentral:rRNA from 1 species